CCCGGCUAAGCGGAGGGGUGGGGGGAGGCAGUGUCAUUAAGCGGGUCUGGCAAUCACAGCCCGGGCCACCUGCGCUUGGCGGCGGUACCCGGCCCGGGGGCAGUGCGCGGGUGCGUGCGGGGGACGGCGGGGACGGGGAGGCUUCGUCGGCGCCGCUCUUCGGGCGGCCAGGGCGGUCGGAGAGCCCGGCGAGCCCGGCUGUUGCGGCGGCGGGGCCCGGCGAAGAUGUGUGUGUUUAUCCAUCUAUACAUUUAUAAUGGGGAGAUCUAGAGCAUCCCAAUACUAAUUGCAAGCGUGAGUCGAAGAGGCUCGGGAAGAAUACAAAACUGAUGACUCUGGCAGUGGUGUUCAUUUAGCUCUGCUGUGGACAUGGCACUCUCAGGUAGCUGAUACACCCUGACAUUGCCCUGCUAACCUGAUCCCCUAACUUAGAAGGUAACUGAGAAAAGCUGUUUCCUGAUUACA
rnacentral:lncRNA from 1 species